rnacentral:rRNA from 1 species
UACAGAGGUCCCAAGCGUUGUUCGGAUUUACUGGGCGUAAAGGGCGCGUAGGCGGCCACCGCAAGUCAAUUGUGAAAUCUCCGGGCUUAACUCGGAAAGGUCAACUGAUACUGCGGGGCUAGAGUGCGGAAGGGGCAACUGGAAUUCUCGGUGUAGCGGUGAAAUGCGUAGAUAUCGAGAGGAACACCUGCGGCGAAGGCGGGUUGCUGGGCCGACACUGACGCUGAUGCGCGAAAGCUAGGGGAGCAAACAGG